AGCUAUCGGUAUGAUAUCGGAUACUUCUGACAAACGGUUGAAUGCAGUGUGUACGCGGUAAAAUGAUUUAUCUUCCUCAUCAACUGAUGGCGAUCUGUGGAUAAAUGCAACACAUCCGUCCCUAAAAUUGUUCGCCUUGACAGAAGUACUAAAACUUGUGUACAUCAUCAAAUACAUGUAUCAUGGAUAGU
rnacentral:sRNA from 1 species